AUUAAGGCCACCGCUUCCCUCUAGUUGUUUGCAAUGGCGUCUUCCUUGUGGGGUCUUGCCCUUCACGUCCCUGCCUGAUCACAUCAACAGAUGGUCUUCACUUGCCAAACGUGUUAGUGUCUGUACCUCCUACCCUGGGUCUUAUGUGCUUUCUGUCGGGUGGGGCUUGAGACCCAAGUAAUGAGCAGGAGCUCAAAGUCUUCCAGAUUGACAGUAAAAGGUUAAUAAACAGCGCUGGUGCGGCAGCCAGCGAUCCACACUGGAUGCCGACUUGGUUGGUUGGGAGCUGAAUUGAUGAGGGCUCACUGUAUCUCACCGUGGGCAGCACAGUGAAGCCCUGCCUCAAAAGCAUUCCUGUCUGAAAGACAUGUCGCUUUGGUUUCACAUGGUUUUGCCAUUGUAAAUACCUUGUAUCUCUCUGUGGAUUAUUCUAAUAGUUUGUUAAAUGUGUAUCAACCAAAUUAAAAAGGCUUUCACGAUAACAUCUUCAUGUGUACUUAAUUUUUAUAAUUGUAUUAUAAUCAGACUUAUGAUGCCUGAGGAAGAUAGUUUAAAAUAAGACUUAUUUUAGUUUUGUAGGUUUCAAUGGCUUGUAGGCAUGUGGCAAGGAUUGGAAGGGUGUGGCAGAGAAACACUGCUGCCCUCAAGGUAUCCAGAAGAAAGAGAAGAGGAAUGGAAAACGCCCAGGGCCAAGAUAUGUCCCUCACAGGCACACCACGAGUGACCCACCUUGCCCAAGUGUGCCACCACUUCCCAUUGGUGUAUUCCGUUUUUACUGUAGAGGCUGAAGCAUUGUCCAGAGCAGAGCCUUCACAAUGUACUCCCGAAAGUGCCCUCUGGCACAUGGAUGUGCUGCACUAAUGUCUGUCCACUCAAGUCAAGAUGAAUUGCAGGGAUUUUCAGUGGCUUAUACCCAAAUGUCAUCCUAAGAGACUAGUUUUCAUGUGUUGAGCAGUCCAUUCUAAGCCACGUUUCCCCUUAGUUCUGUAAGGUGGUUUGAUUUCAGCGGGUUGCCAGUCUCAGCUACAACUGAGACACAGAUUUAGCUCUUUGGGUUUGGCGCCUACACCCUGUUCUGUUUUAAAGUGUGAGAUUUAAGCCGUUGUUCUUGCCCCGUCCACUCUGGUUUUAGACCUUGUAUGUAUUAAGAACAACUAACUAAUGUGAUGGAACGACUUUGCCUCCUGUACAGCUGCCACUUAAUAAUAUGACCGGCUUAGCGCACCUUUAUUUUCUUCCUCUGUAAGACUGGUUGUAAUGCGUCUCAACUCAGUGUUUUCAUGGACUACAACGGGAAGAAAACAGUGGUAGCCACAUCUGUGGGGUGGAGUCUGUGACAUCCUUGGAUACUAACAUACCUGAAAAAGCAUCCUAACAGGGUCUUGUCCCCCAAGAAAGUUCUUUUCCCAAGCUCUGGCCCCAUUCCCUCCUGGGCUUGAAGAAAGUUCCUGCUUGCUAAAAGUGGAGUCAUUCUCUUAUCUCUGGCAAGAGCAGCUUAUGACCCAUUUACAGGGGGCUUGGGUGCCUCCUGUCAAGAUCCAGGCUAGCCUCUAAGCUCCCUGUUGCUGCUCACCAGCCCCAGCCCAGCUCACAAACUCCCUUUCUCCCAGUCCUGUUUAACCCUGAGUCUCCCAGGUAGCUCUGCCUGCUUGCUUUCCUGGGAGUGAGCCUUGGCACUUUGGAAUAAACUUCCCUUUUCACCCACG
rnacentral:lncRNA from 1 species